rnacentral:rRNA from 1 species
UGCGUAGGUGGUGAGGUAAGUCGGAUAUGAAAUCUCCGAGCUCAACUCGGAAAUGGCAUUGGAAACUACCUUGCUAGAGGGUUGGGAGGGGGGACUGGAAUACUUGGUGUAGCAGUGAAAUGCGUAGAUAUCAAGUGGAACACCAGUGGCGAAGGCGAGUCCCUGGACAACUCCUGACACUGAGGCACGAAAGCUGGGAGCAAACA